rnacentral:tRNA from 1 species
GCCCACGUAGCUCAGUUGGCAGAGCGUUACCUUGGUAAGGUAGAGGUCACCAGUUCAAUUCUGGUCAUGGGCUCCA